rnacentral:rRNA from 1 species
AUGCAGCAGGGGUGGCCACUGUGUGGUAGGGCGGUGAAGUUGGAUUGCGCUCUCAUCCCCUACGGCGAAACGGUGGGGAGAUUGACUGCGCCCAGGGCGCUGCCGCCUACCAGCGAGCUCGCAGUUGCUCCGGCGGCCAUGGAGUUCUUAAUGCAGCCGAUAAACAGAACACUGCUAGAGCAGGUGACUGAUAACAACAGCACAAUGGAGCCCGUGCGGUUCCUAAUCACCGCGCAGCCGGAGGUUGAGCUUCCAGCACCGGCGGCUUCAAGUGCGGACGCCCAGAUCUGUCGUGCAGAGACGGGAACUGCGGAGAUGGCCCAGACUUCCGAGCACUCCAUAGAGCAAUUGGACCCCAAAACACCUGGUUGGAUACAAAGAGUGCGUGUAGGUGCUGCUGCUGUAGGCAGGGCUCCUUGCCUGGACAGGGUCACAGCGCUGGAGAAGACCAUGAGGGAAUUUGCGGAUCAUCCAGGAGACAGAGUCAUUGUGCCAAAGAUAGGUACAAGUUUCGACACUCUUGCCCUCAUGAGAUUGCUGGGGUCAAAGGACAAUGGAUGCCCAAUGCAUAUCUUUGUGAGGAAGUGUAUGAGUUUAAUUUCUGAUAGGGAGUCGAGGAAAAUUAUGAGGAGAAGCGGACAACAAUCGGGAGGCCCCUUAUGCGAGCAAAUAUGGCAACCGAGAGACAUGCUGGGCAGAUAUACACUAGAGCUAUAUUUGAGCAAUUCGGUCAUAUACUAUAGGAGUGUGGUGCAUAUCAGGUGCCUUCAUCCGUGUGACAGAAAUCCCAAAGAAGCACAUAGUGAAGAGGUGGACCAGAGAUGCAAGAGAUAUCCUUCAACGCACCUAAUUCAGUACCAGAGGGACAACGCUCAAGAAAACCCGUUUAGUUUCCGACAUUUCAAUAUGUACAUGCAAGCCAUGGAGCUUGUGCGGAUGGGCAACUCAAGUGUAGCAGCUUAUGAACAUUUGAUUGCAUUGUUCAAGCAAUGUGCAUCAGAGAUGAAGCCAUUCACAGAAGUCAGAGAUGGUUUAUGUCUGGAAGACAGCAAGGCCACAAGCGGACAACAUGUCCUGAAGGCGGUGACAUACCAAAACAGCCUCGUAAGCCGGCUAGAUGCAAGAACUGUGGAGUUGAAGGACACCGCCGGAACAACUGUCACAAAGCAGCAGAACUACGGCUGA